rnacentral:rRNA from 1 species
AACGAACGCUGGCGGCAUGUCUAACAAAUGCAAGUCGAACGAGACCUUCGGGUCUAGUUGCGCACGGGUGCGUAAUGCGUGGGAAUCUGCCCUUGGGUUCGGAAUAACAGUUAGAAAUGACUGCUAAUACCGGAUGCUGACGUAAGUCCAAAGAUUUAUCGCCCAAGGAUGAGGCCGCGUAGGAUUAGCUUGUUGGUGAGGUAAAAGCUCACCAAGGCGACGAUCCUUAGCUGGUCUGAGAGGAUGGUCAGCCACACUGGGACUGAGACACGGCCCAGACUACUACGGGGGGCAGCAGUGGGGAAUAUUGGACAAUGGGCGAAAGCCUGAUCCAGCAAUGCCGCGUGAGUGAUGAAGGCCUUAGGGUUGUAAAGCUCUUUUACCCGGGAUGAUAAUGACAGUACCGGGAGAAUAAACCCCGGCUAACUCCGUGCCAGCCGCCGCUGUAACAC